AAUCUUCCGCAAUGGACGCAAGUCUGACGGAGCAACGCCGCGUGAGUGAAGAAGGUUNNNCGAUCNUAAAGCUCUGUUGUGAGNGAANAACAAGUAAGGGAGUCACUGCCCUUGCCAUGACUGUAUCUCACCAGACAGCCACGGCUAAAUACGUGCCAGCAGCCGCGGUAAUACGUCGGUGGCAAGCGUUGUCCGGAAUUAUUGGGCGUAAAGCGCGCGCAGGCGGUCCUUUAAGUCUGAUGUGAAAUCUGGCGGCUUAACCGCAAGCGGUCAUUGGAAACUGGGGGACUUGAGUACAGAAGAGGAGAGUGGAAUUCCACGUGUAGCGGUGAAAUGCGUAGAGAUGUGGAGGAACACCAGUGGCGAAGGCGGCUCUCUGGUCUGUCACUGACGCUGAGGCGCGAAAGCGUGGGUAGCGAAC
rnacentral:rRNA from 1 species